UACGUAGGGUGCAAGCGUUAAUCGGAAUUACUGGGCGUAAAGCGUGCGUAGGUGGUUCGUUGUGUCUGUGGUGAAAGCCCCGGGCUUAACCUGGGAAUGGCCAUGGAAACUGGCGAGCUGGAGUCUGGCAGAGGGGGGUGGAAUUCCGCGUGUAGCAGUGAAAUGCGUAGAGAUGCGGAGGAACACCGAUGGCGAAGGCAGCCCCCUGGGCUAAGACUGACACUGAGGAGCGAAAGCCAGGGGAGCAAACGGG
rnacentral:rRNA from 1 species